GUCGAGAAUCUUUCACAAUGGGGGCAACCCUGAUGGAGCGACGCCGCGUGGAGGAUAAGGUCUUCGGAUUGUAAACUCCUGUCAUGCGUGAACAAGGUUGCUUGGUUAAUACCUGGGCAAAUUGAUGGUAACGCAAGAGGAAGAGACGGCUAACUCUGUGCCAGCAGCCGCGGUAAUACAGAGGUCUCAAGCGUUGUUCGGAAUCACUGGGCGUAAAGGGUGCGUAGGUGGCGUGGUAAGUCAGAUGUGAAAGCCCGGGGCUCAACCUCGGAACUGCGUCCGAUACUGCCAUGCUAGAGGACUGGAGAGGUGACUAGAAUUCUCGGUGUAGCAGUGAAAUGCGUAGAUAUCGAGAGGAAUACCAAAGGCGUAGGCAGGUCACUGGACAGUUACUGACACUGAGGCACGAAGGCCAGGGGAGCGAACGGGAUUAGAUACCCGAGUAGUCC
rnacentral:rRNA from 1 species